CUUAACACAUUCCCUAAAAUAUAUAUGGGGAAGAAUUUUUGUCAACACUUGUCAAUCCAUCACCACCACGAACUUGCCAACUCUCCAAUCGACCAUCUUACAUAGUCCCCUCUCAUCGUCUCUACAAUGCUCUUAGUUAACAAUUCACCGCUCUACCACCUGUAUCUGUAGAAUAUAACAUUUAAUGGUCGGGAGCCACACCAAGCCAACCUCCCUCAAUAAAUACUUCCUUUCAACACCAAAAAAAAACAUAAGAUAAAAAAUAGCUUACAUUCUUCUCAAACAUUCUCUCAACUCAAAUAAACAGACCAUCCUUGGUGGCCCUUUAUACCCCUAAGGUGUGAACCUCCACUAUUUUUAAUAGCUCUUCACACUAUUUACAAUACGAACCAUCAUCAUUAUCUACUUUUAACACUUCGUAUAAGCUUAGUUGUUAAUUUAAAGAAUUCAAUUCACAUGUAAAAUAUUGAGGUCAUUAAUUAUGAACUCGAGAAAGAAAGAAAAGAUACAUACAGGCAAGAUAUCAAGGAAGCUAGGAAAAGGAUUGAAGAAAGGAAGAAUAUUGACUGUUCAAAAAGAAAAACAAUGGUGAACAGUAUUUUUCCUAAAAUUUGUGGGGCAAUUUGGGUACAUUCAAACAGCAAAAGAAUGAUGGUUCAAAUGAAAAUCAGACCAUGGGGGCAACUCCAAGGAAUUAAAACCGAAAACUCAUGCUCAACACCCUAACAAAAGGAAAGAAAAAGUCAAAGUCAAAGGAAACAUAAUCUGGCACUCACAGAUGCUUCAAAAUUGCCCUACGGAUCUCUAUAAUAACCAAUCAAAUGGUUCAAAACAUUACAAUAGUAAUAAAAAAAAGGGUCCUCAUCUAAAACACCAAAAUCUGGCCGUAUCCUGAUAUCAGGGUACGUUAAAAAAAAGUCUAAUCAUUUACCUAUAUUGACGUGUCGAUUUCCUAUUCGUUCCCUAUAUAUAAAUUGAAUAAGGAAAACCUCAUGCAAAGGAAACAU
rnacentral:lncRNA from 1 species